GCCGCGGUAAUACGGAGGAUCCAAGCGUUAUCCGGAAUCAUUGGGUUUAAAGGGUCCGUAGGCGGUCAGAUAAGUCAGUGGUGAAAGCCCAUCGCUCAACGGUGGAACGGCCAUUGAUACUGUCUGACUUGAAUUAUUAGGAAGUAACUAGAAUAUGUAGUGUAGCGGUGAAAUGCUUAGAGAUUACAUGGAAUACCAAUUGCGAAGGCAGGUUACUACUAA
rnacentral:rRNA from 1 species